UACGUAGGGUGCAAGCGUUGUCCGGAAUUAUUUGGGCGUAAAGAGCUCGUAGGCGGUCUGUCGCGUCGGAUGUGAAAAUCCAGGGCUUAACCCUGGACCUGCAUUCGAUACGGGCAGACUAGAGUUCGGUAGGGGAGACUGGAAUUCCUGGUGUAGCGGUGAAAUGCGCAGAUAUCGGGAGGAACACCAGUGGCGAAGGCGGCACUCUGGGCCGGAACUGACGCUGAGGAGCGAAAAGCGUGGGGAGCGAACAGGA
rnacentral:rRNA from 1 species